UACGUAGGGACCGAGCGUUGUCCGGAUUCAUUGGGCGUAAAGAGCUCGUAGGCGGCUGUUCAAGUCAAACGUGAAAACUCGGAGCUCAACUCCGAGCCUGCGUUCGAUACUGGACGGCUAGAGUCUGGUAGGGGGAUCUGGAAUUCCUGGUGUAGCGGUGGAAUGCGCAGAUAUCAGGAGGAACACCGGUGGCGAAGGCGGGAUCCUGGGCCAGUACUGACGCUGAGGAGCGAAAGCGUGGGGAGCAAACAGG
rnacentral:rRNA from 1 species